ensembl:snRNA U6 U6 spliceosomal RNA
GUGCUGGCUUCAGCAGCACAUAUACUACAAUUGCAACAAUACAGAGAAGAUUAGCAUGGCCCCUGUGCAAGGAUGACACACAGAUUCGUGAAGCGUUCCAUGUUUUU